rnacentral:misc_RNA from 1 species
AUAAUAGUCUACAUCCUACAUUAUGAGAAUAUUAUGUCACAUAUACACAUGAUAAUAUUAUCAAACUCCUAAAAAAGAUAGAAAAUAUAUUUCUCUUGUGCUUCAACUUCUUUAAACUUUUCCAGUCACAUACAUUUUCUCUGCAGUUUCUUCAAGGUUCUUUCAAUUACAAAUCUUUGAUCUCUUCUGCAAUCUCUCCCAUCCAUUUAAAGUAUCGCCUUGUUGCUAUAGGAUAUCCACCAUCACA